rnacentral:rRNA from 1 species
UACGUAGGGGGCUAGCGUUGUCCGGAUUUAUUGGGCGUAAAGAGCGUGUAGGCGGCCAGGGAGGUCCGUUGUGAAAACUCGAGGCUCAACCUCGAGACGCCGAUGGAAACCCCCUGGCUAGAGUCCGGAAGAGGAGAAUGGAAUUCCUGGUGUAGCGGUGAAAUGCGCAGAUAUCAGGAAGAACACCCGUGGCUAAGGCGGUUCUCUAGUACGGUACUGACGCUGAGACGCGAAAGCGUGGGGAGCGAACAGG